AACGAACGCUGGCGGCAGGCCUAACACAUGCAAGUCGAGCGCCCAGCAAUGGGAGCGGCGCACGGGUGAGUAACACGUGGGAACGUGCCCUUUGGUUCGGAAUAACGCAGGGAAACUUGUGCUAAUACCGGAUAAGCCCUACGGGGAAAGAUUUAUCGCCAUUGGAGCGGCCCGCGUCUGAUUAGCUAGUUGGUGAGGUAACGGCCCACCAAGGCAACGAUCAGUAGCUGGUUUGAGAGAACGACCAGCCACACUGGACUGAGACACGGCCCAGACUCUACGGGAGGCAGCAGUGGGGAAUCUUGGACAA
rnacentral:rRNA from 1 species